rnacentral:rRNA from 1 species
UGGGGAAUAUUGCACAAUGGGCGCAAGCCUGAUGCAGCCAUGCCGCGUGUAUGAAGCAGGCCUUCGGGUUGUAAAGUACUUUCAGUCGGGAGGAAGGUGGUAAGGUUAAUAACCUUGGCAAUUGACGUUACCGACAGAAGAAGCACCGGCUAACUCCGUGCCAGCCGCCGCGGUAAUACGGAGGGUGCAAGCGUUAAUCGGAAUUACUGGGCGUAAAGCGCACGCAGGCGGUUGAUUGAGUCAGAUGUGAAAUCCCCGGGCUUAACCCGGGAAUUGCAUCUGAUACUGGUCAGCUAGAGUCUUGUAGAGGGGGGUAGAAUUCCAUGUGUAGCGGUGAAAUGCGUAGAGAUGUGGAGGAAUACCGGUGGCGAAGGCGGCCCCCUGGACGAAGACUGACGCUCAGGUGCGAAAGCGUGGGGAGCAAACAGG